rnacentral:ncRNA from 1 species
GCUACAGAACUUUUUCUGUUUACUUAGUAUUCAUAAGAUUACAUAUUUUAUAAAUUAUUGCUUAUUAAAUACCAUAACAUUGGAAUUCUAAGGUUGCAAUGCCAUAAAAUUCUACAUUUCAUAAUCAGUGUUAAUAUUUGUGUGGCUUCAGAAUAGAGUCAAAUUUACAAAAGAUAUUCUGGAAUAGGAUUACAGUUCUAUUUUGUUGGGUUUUGGAAAUGGUGACAUCAUUAAGAGGGGCACCUGGGGGCAUUCGUAUUGUGACACUAGAGGUGAAAUUCUUGGACUGGUACAAGACGGACUACAGCAAAAGCAUUCACCAAGAGUGUUUUCAUUAGUCAGGAAUGAAAUUCAGAAGUUCAAAGACAAUCAGAUACCAUCGCAUUUUGGAUCACAAAGGAUGCUGAUAGGUGAUAACUUUUUUGGAGGGAGUCUCUGCAGCACAAUUGGUCAACGUGUUCAGUGGUUAACCAAAAGGUUGGUGGUUUGAGCCC